CCUGUUUGGAAUUUUGAAUCACCUCUUCUAUGUCCUGAUCAAAUUCUCCGGCAGAGACAUGACGGUGACAGUCAACGUAACCCUGCAUGUGCACGCAAAAGCUCAAUAAGCCUGGUUUACAAAAUAAAUGAAUCCACGUCC